CACGUAGGGUGCGAGCGUUGUCCGGAAUUAUUGGGCGUAAAGAGCUCGUAGGCGGUGUGUCGCGUCGGCCGUGAAAACCUGCAGCUUAACUGUGGGCGUGCGGUCGAUACGGGCAUCACUGGAGUUCGGCAGGGGAGACUAGAAUUCCUGGUGUAGCGGUGAAAUGCGCAGAUAUCAGGAGGAACACCGGUGGCGAAGGCGGGUCUCUGGGCCGAUACUGACGCUGAGGAGCGAAAGCGUGGGGAGCGAACAGG
rnacentral:rRNA from 1 species